rnacentral:lncRNA from 1 species
AUAGAUCAGAUUUUCUACACAAGAAGGGAGGAGGGAUCAGUCAUUUUUAGACAUUAGACCUAACCCUAGGAACCCCCCCAUAAGCUUCUUCUUAAUAGAAGACAAAAACCCUAGACCUAGCCAAGAGCUCUUAGCCGUUUCUGAUAAAAGAACCAACGGUACACCAGAUCUCCCUUCAACGAGACCAACAACUUCACCACCAUGGCACACUAGUUCCUUGACGACGGGAAGCACCAUGAAAAACGCUGUCCCUCACCACUAAAAGCUCACCGGAAAAUAGUAGCGGAUAAGCUUCAGCACACCCAGGACCCUUCUCCAUCUCCUUCACACCAGCGACCCCUCCCCCCCGGUCGUUAAGCUUUCGGAACAAAAAUACAGAGCCAUUCCCCUUCAUCUUCUUCACCAUCCCUUUCUUUAUCAAAAUAUCACUUCCGUGAGACAUACACACAUACACACACACACACACGAGAAACAGAGGCUGAAGCUAAAAAGAAUAAACGAAAAAAUGGGGGUUCGGACAGAAAUUGAGACAAGAACUUAGGAUAAAGUUUGAUUGAAGUUCGAGUUUUCUGUUGAAGUCACUGAUGAGUUUUCUCCAGCGUGGUCAUAUGCACUGUCGAGGUCCAAAACAAUCAGGGUCAUGGUCAUUAUAGAGGUCUAAUUCUAAACUUUUCUUCUUUAUUUUUUCUCAUGUGGAUAUACUGUAUUUACUUGUUAUCGUAUCCUUAGCCAUUGUUAUACGGACGAUUUGCCUUCUCUAUUUCAUAUUGGUUUGGGUGAUCUUGUUUUUUUUAUGUAUUAAGUUUUAAGUAUAAGGAAAUGUUCUGCAAAUAUAAAUAUGUGUUGAAGAACAAAAGCUACCUAACGUGAUAAUCAGUUCAGUCAGAACAUUUUAUCAAUGUGUAUUUGAUUGUUUCACUUAAGUGACUCGUGAAGUCAGUAUUUGGAAAAGAGAAUCUUGUUAAUUGAAAUUAAGUGCAAAAAAUUUAUGCAAUAAAUUGGAUUUAACACUAGAUUUACUAAUGUUUUAUUUUUCAACCGACAAUAGCAUAUUUUAGGCCUAUCACACGUGGGUAGACAAAUUUUUUGGCGCGUAAAUAAUCAUCGUGACUAUAGGUAUGGUUCCCAUGGUAUAGUCAUGAUACUUAAUACCAAUUCAGGUGUGCAUUUCAUGUGACCCGCCCACAACUUCGAACAUUAAUAAAAUUAACAUAUUGUAGAUCGUGGGUACGGUUAUCGUGACGCGAUUCGUAAUCAAACAAAUUCCAUAAUUGUUUAAAAUAACUAAAAGCGGUUGAAAAGCUAAAAAUGCACAAUAGGUAUAAUAUGUAAUAAAUUAGAUAAUUAGGCCAAUUAUUAAUAAUUAAGCAACUGUGCUAAAACUAUGGAAUCCAGGAAUGCCUCACACCUUCUCUCGGGUUAACAGAAUUCCUUACCCGAAUUUAUGUGUUUCGCGAAUUGUAAAACAAAGUCAAACUUUCCUCGAUUCGGGAUUUUACCCGGUGACUUGGGACACCAUAAAUUAUCUCAAGUGGCGACUCUGAAUUUGAAUAAAUAAUCCCGUUUCGAUUUUGUCACUUAAAUUGAAAAAACUCUCCUAUAUCCCUUUCGGGUAAAAAAAGAGGUGUAACCGCUCUGGCGACUCUGCUAGGGAAAAGAACCCAAAACUUCUAGUUCAGGGUUCAGAAUUCGAGCUUAGAAUAAUUGUUAUAGUUGGCUUUGUUUAUUAUCUGAUUUUUACGUGUUUGGGCCCAAUGUGCUAAAUGCCGCUUUUUACUGCUUUGAUAUUAUUUGAAUUGUAUAUAAACUACCGCGAAACCCUUCUCUUCUAAUCUUCUAGGAAGUGCACGCUGGCGUGACUUCUUUUCUAUUAGUGUCAUACCCUAAUUUAGAACGAGGAUUGGAUCAGUUACAAAGUCGGAUGGCCUUUUGGUUCCCGGUACGUUGCCCCCUCUCCCCGGCUCGAGUUGUCCGCUCGGGUAAGCCAGGUCUAGAACAAUACACCCAGGUUUUAAAACCUAGAAUAACAUUGUCUCAUGCCGGAUUCCUAGUAGGAACGUUUGUUUGCAUCACGUGCAUUUGACUUUGGGGACUCAACACAUGGGUUGGGUCCAUCUAGGAUAGGUGUACCCAAAAAAUAAAAGACCAUUCCGAUGCAUCCUAUGUGCUACAUGUUGCAAUCUUCAAGGGUAAAAGGGGUCAUUUGGCGGACCAAUGAGGGUUGAGGGUAAAUGAGAAAGAAAAGAGGGUGAAGUGUGAAAAUAAAGCAAGUAGGGCCCAGUUAUGUUUUUCUUUCACAUUGUUUUAAGAAAAAGACAAAAAAAAUCGAAAAAAAUAAGAUUUUGCACUUUCCCAUCAUUUUCCGGAAAACAAAUAAAAAAAAAGAGGAAAAAAAAAAUCCAAAAAGAGUUUACAUGUUGCAUCAUUUUUCUAAAAAAAAAAAACAAAAAAUAUGUUUUCUCCAAAUAAGUUAUUUUUUUUAUUUUAUUCUCGCCCGUAUCCAAUCUUCCCAACUGCGCAUACCUGAUUCUCGUCUUUCGGGGCGUGAUACGUAGGCAGCCCAUAUAGGGUCUGGUCUUCUUAGUGAAUCUUAGGUUCUUGUCUUCGAGGGUCGCAGCCAAAUGUUGCAUCUCUAGCCACCUUUGGCCAUAUCGGCCGUUUUGCAAAAUAUGGUUAUUUCUGCAAAGUGGUUUAUUUAAUUGUGUCUAGAGAUUCUUCAAUCCACAAUUAGGUGUCUCUUUACUUUGAGGUCCUUCCUUGUUGAAUUUGCAUGUCUAGCUGCUUUUGGCCACAUAGGCCGCAAAAUAGGGCUAUUUUCGCAAAAGUGGUUCAAUCAACCUAUGUCUUAGAGUCCUAAGUCCACAAUAAGGUGUCCUCUCUGUUUAGGGUCCAUUCUGUUGAAUUUGCAACGCUUAGCCAUUUUUUGGCCACAUAGGCCAUUUCUACAAAAUGGGUCAUUUCGGUAAAGUGAUUUUUCCAUGUCUUUGAGGUCACCUUUGUCGAGUUUGCAUUAAUAGCAACUUUUGGCCACAUAGGCCAUUUUGCAAAAAUAACCUCAAUCAUGUCAUGCAUGUGUCUAGUAGGGAGUGUUAUUGUCUCACAUAGUGUUCUAAAUCUUUAACUCUAUUUGGUUUAUUUUUCUCAUACAGGUGUGGAUCUACUUACCGGAGUUUGAGCAUGACAAAUACCCUUGCUUAAGGAGAUUUUUUCUUAUGUUUUGAGUCUGUUUUUUUAUUGUCUUGUACUUUAUAGUCAUGUUCAGUAGUAGUAAUUCUUUUAGUUAGUGUCAGAGUUUGUCGUAGUAUAGUUGAGUUUGUCAAGUCUCCCGUAUCAUAUUUCCUGUUUUAUAUUUGAAAAUCGAAAAAGAGUUAUAAAUGAUAAAUAAAAAAGAUUUUUGUUUCUUAGUUUAUUUUGUCCAUUACUUUUACAGAACUACGCUUGAUCUGAUUCAUGAGGG